rnacentral:rRNA from 1 species
GCUAGUAAUGGCAGGUCAGCAUACUGCCGUGAAUACGUUCCCGGGCCUUGUACACACCGCCCGUCACACCAUGAGAGUUGGGAAUACCCGAAGCCUGUGAGCUAACUUUCAGAGGCAGCAGUCGAAGGUAGAAUCAAUGAUUGGGGUGAAGUCGUAACAAGGUAGC